rnacentral:lncRNA from 1 species
AUACAUACUUACAAGACAUUUAUUGCAUAGUCAAACCAUUGAUCCAGAGAAACAAGUCAAUAAGUCAAAUCAAGAUGUGCAUGUGUGGCGAAUGAAUGGUGUAUGGUGAUGAUGGUGAUAAUGGUGAAAACAAUGGUGAAAGUCUAAUUCUACUUUUGCUCUUUUGAGGGGAUACAUACCUUUCUUGCACUUUUGAAACUUUUUGAGGAGAAUGAGAUGCUCUAUAUUUUCUUUUUCUUUUCUCUCAGGUGGGUAUCUUGUACCCCUAAUUCUACUGUCGGAUACUUGUCCAUUUUUACCUCUCGUCUCACUUUUUCUUA